AAUCCCCCCACAUCUCUCUCAGAUCUGAAGAUUUGAUCCGUGGAUUCGAUCCCCAAUCCAUCCUACUAGGAUGGUUUAGCUUCUGGACGAUGUCUACGACGUGCAACACCGGGCCUACAUGAUGCGCGAGAAGGAUAAGAAGCUUGAACCUCUGAAGAUUCGGUAUCAUGGGGUCU